CCUACGGGGGGCUGCAGUGGGGAAUAUUGGACAAUGGGCGAAAGCCUGAUCCAGCCAUGCCGCGUGUGUGAAGAAGGCCUUCGGGUUGUAAAGCACUUUCAGUGGGGAAGAAAGCCUUGGGGCUAAUACCCUCGAGGAAGGACAUCACCCACAGAAGAAGCACCGGCUAACUCCGUGCCAGCAGCCGCGGUAAUACGGAGGGUGCGAGCGUUAAUCGGAAUUACUGGGCGUAAAGCGCGUGUAGGCGGUCUGAUAAGCCGGUUGUGAAAGCCCCGGGCUCAACCUGGGAACGGCAUCCGGAACUGUCCGGCUAGAGUGCAGGAGAGGAAGGUAGAAUUCCCGGUGUAGCGGUGAAAUGCGUAGAGAUCGGGAGGAAUACCAGUGGCGAAGGCGGCCUUCUGGACUGACACUGACGCUGAGGUGCGAAAGCGUGGGUAGCAAACAGGAUUAGAUACCCGGGUAGUC
rnacentral:rRNA from 1 species